CAAAAAACGAAAAUAAAAUUCCAUUGGAUCUGAGCUACAAACUCCAUAGCAAAAUUCCUAAUAAACUUUGGAGGGCUGUCAUUUGCAUCACUUAAACAACAAUUACGUGGCCUCGGGACAUCUUCUUGAAGUGGAGGACCAAGCAAUAAACGAGGCCUUCUGGUGACAACCGAGAAAGUUCCAACCCCCCAAAAUCGCAGACACAGACUCCGCCGUCAUAUGAAUAAGUAAUGCGAGAAUUGAAAAAUAUGAUUUCCCGAGGAGGAGGAAACUUAACAUGGCAAAAUCCUGAUCCACGCUUGCGGUACAGACAUGCAGCAGACACAUGACCGGAGCCUUGGGACAGAACUGCGGCCGGAGUGGUUCCUUG